rnacentral:rRNA from 1 species
GAUCCUGGCUUAGGAUGAACGCUGGCGGCGUGCUUAACACAUGCAAGUUGUGCGGUGAUCUCAAGAAGUUUCGGACGGAAAGGGAGAGCAGCAGCGGACGGGUGAGUAAAGCACAAGGACUUGUCCCGAAGAGGGGGACAACUGUGGGAAACCACAGCUAAUACCCCAUAAGCCGAGAGGUGAAAGCAGUAAUGCGCUUUAGGAGAGACUUGUGUCCUAUCAGGUAGUUGGUGAGGUAACGGCUCACCAAGCCGAAGACGGGUAGCCGGACUGAGAGGUUGUACGGCCACAUUGGAACUGAGAGACGGUCCAGACUCCUACGGGAGGCAGCAGUGGGGAAUAUUGGGCAAUGGGGGGCCAACCCUGACCCAGCGACGCCGCGUGAGGGAAGACAGCCUUCGGGUUGUAAACCUCUGUUGCAGGGGAAGAAGAAAGUGACGGUACCCUGCGAGGAAGCUCCGGCAAACUACGUGCCAGCCGCCGC